CGGACGGGUGAGUAAUGCAUAGGAAUCUACCCAGUAGUGGGGGACAACUCGGGGAAACUCGAGCUAAUACCGCAUACGACCUACGGGUGAAAGUGGGGGAUCUUCGGACCUCACGCUAUUGGAUGAGCCUAUGUCAGAUUAGCUAGUUGGUGGGGUAAUGGCCUACCAAGGCGACGAUCUGUAGCUGGUUUGAGAGGAUGAUCAGCACACUGGGACUGAGACACGGCCCAG
rnacentral:rRNA from 1 species